CAUGGUUGAUCUGUGGCAAUCUAAGCUGCGUGUAAAUGAUGGAAGUGUGGCGUAGUUGUCAAGCGAAAGCAUUUGCCUGCAAAUGAAGUGGCAUACCCGAUUAGAAUGUUUUAUCCUGCUGGGUAACAUGACUGUGUAGCAUAUCUGGGAAAGCUCUGCCAUGCUUCAGCCUGCUGUGUCCAAAUUUGAUUGUGGUGAUUUUUCCAAUAGUCAAUGCCAUCCUUGAUAUCCUUGGAUAAGAUCGUAAAACAUGCAUGAUUCUUUCAAAUGCAUAGUGCAAAAAAGACCUUGACUUUUCAAAGAGUUCAAUCUAGGACCAAGUCUACUGAUGUUAAAUUUGCUCUGGUGUAAAAUUUGCAUUGUUCCCUUCUGAUAAACCAAAAGUUGCCUGACAAGAUGCUUGAAUCCUGCUUAUUUAUGUUAAAAUGGACGAAAUGCCUUAACCGCUGGUUAGAUACUUAAAAGAAUAUUCUACGACUUCAUGAAACUGGAUACUCCUUGCUGUAAUCUUUUCCUGAAGCACAAGAACUUCCAAAUUCGACCGAGUAUGGAUACGCAAGACAUUUCUGAUCUUCUCAAACUUGAGACUUCAAUGCUUCAUAAAUAAGCCUGAAUGGGAAAAUUGGCUUGUCAUAGGUGAUAUUUCAUUUAAACUACCUCUGUUGAGUUCAGAAAGUAUUGUACAUUUUUGGAGCAAGUUCACAACCCUCUUUCGUUGGUCAUUAAAACUGAAUUUAUAAUUUUAAUUCUUGUAAAUAUGGUGUAUUGAAGCAAGUUCUUCAUAUUAAGACUAUAUUUCGCUCCAAUUCUACAAACAGGUAUGAGCUCGUAAAAUCAAUUUAUGGUCUAAACCAGAUAAUGAUUCAGAGAUUUAUUUCAUCAAAGUAUUUUUCAUGAACUUGAAACUUGGCUUCGAUUUUGGGACCUGAAUAAGGAAAGUCUAGAGUGAGUCCAAAGCUCAAACUAAGCAAGCGUUCUAACUCAGAUGCGAAACUUAAAUGCAGAAUCUAACUUUGAGCAUGGGAUACAAGAAAAAUUCUAAAAUCUUCCAGUAUUUCAUACAUUAGUAAAAACAUUGAAAAACAUGCGAGAGCAAUUGAAAAUUUGUCUUUGUAUACGAAAGCUAUUUUUGCUUAUGUAAUAUUGAGUGUCUAGCUUGCACCUGGAUUAAGUACAUCGUUGUGCAUCAAACAAGUACAUUAGUGUUUAAGUACCAAGGAGCCUGACCUACUAUUAGGAUAGAAACUUGAAGUUCGUGCAUUACAUUUUACAAAUAAACUGCGACAGAAAUCUAUUAAAAUAGAUGCGAAAAUCGGAUUCAGUCUAAUUAUCCCACUUAAAUAUAUGAAAUUCUGAUCGAAGUCUGCACCGACAUCGUUAGUUCAACCGGGGAUUCCAUGAAAGCAGUUCUUGGUAAAGCAGUACCGACUAGUCAUGCUACUUCAGACAUGAAUAUUUGUCGCGAGCAGUAAUAGAAUUUUCUCUCAAUUCAAUGACUUUUAGUUCGUGUAUAACGAAUUGUAUUUGAAGUUGAUUUCAAGUAUGAAACGCUUUAAUAAAUAGAAAACAUACUGAAGCUAAUAUGUUUGAGCAGGUAUAACAAGUGGGUAUCUUUUUGAGCGUUUAACUGUGCAUGUGAUUUUGCGCGCGACUGUAAACUCCAUAUAAGCCUUUGUGCUAGUAUAAGCUAUUUUCGGUGUAUAUUGAGUAAUUAAAUUAAUUGCAAGCGCGAAUACGGUGAUAUAGAAAUCGGUUUUUUCCAAUGUUGAAAGUAUGAAGUUAAGUUUCUUUAUAAGAACUUAGUGCCUCGCUUUUUAAACUACAGGGAGACUUCAUAACGAGUUUCGACGUGAAGUGGGGUGAAGUUACAAGAAUUGUGGGGAUACAUCUUGAAUAGCGAAAGUAUAUUAUGGAUAUUGGCAAGUAAAAUGGGUUAAAACAUUCAACUUGAUUAGAAACACUGCAUUAAUGUUUUACAGAACUAACAUCUAACCUAUAUAUUUCUGAAUUAGUCUCGCUUAUGUUGCAUUAAUAUUCGGAUUGAUUUCUCUUAAAUGGGGUUCACUGAGAAUCUUUAUUAAAAAAGGCCCUUAAGGGUGGAAAUGAAGUUCUGAGGUAAGACGUUGGGGGAGGAAGCCGAGACGGGCCAUCUGAACAACCUUUCCCUACUUCGCGAAAGCUAGAGGGCGGGAUAGGCGCCAGCCGGCUGGUAAGAGGAGGGAAUUCGAUAGCUAUACAGUCAAUCUCACCCUAAUUCGUAUUAUACUGAAGCUUAUCUUAUACUUUCAGCCUUGGAAACGCGAGUUUGAAUUAAGAAUAACGAAUAGGUUAACUACUUGAGGUUUCCUAUUACUGAUAAUUCAUUUCCUUUCAUUAGGUAGAAAAAUGCAAAAAUGAUAAAGCAAAGCCCAAAACUCCGGUCGAAAUAUCUAUUUUCCUAAGCGAUAAGAUAUCUCAAAUUAUUUUUGUAGGAACAAAAUUCCAAAUAUUCAUUGCAGUUGAAUAGCUAGUUGGUACUGUGUCGCCAAAUCCUACUACUUCGUUAAGUAGGCAUUUUAUUUUUAAUAAAAUGAUUUACUCAAUUCCAUAUUUCUCACAAAUGCAGGAAACAAAUGGAAAUUGUCUAAAAUUAUUUUCUAAUGAUCUGAUCAUAGCACCUCUAAGAAUACUUCUUAUUGCAACUGUAGAUGGGUUUUUCUUGCCAUAUGGUAUUCUGCUGUUUUGCAUUUAUACAUUCAACUGCUGUAGCAAUGAAUCUUCUGUACUCUAAAGUAAUUGGAUGCGUAAUCUAUUGAAAAGAAUUUAUUAUAGCUCUUAGACUCUUCUUAUUAGUAACGAGAUUAUGCAGCUUCAAAAAGGAUGGAUGUAAGAAACUGGUCUACAUUCAGUUGCAAUGCUGUAAUAGAAAUGCAUUAUACAAAAUGUAUCAUAUUGGAGAACUGAAAUUACAAUUCUUAGAAAACACUACUGUGUCCUCAUUUAAGUCCGUGCAUUCUUACUUGCAAUGAUUAACUUCGAAUAAACUGUUCUAUAAACGAAACUGUUUAAUUUGGGAAAAUAUGCUAAUCUACUCUUCUGAUAUCCGAGUCAACUUAAGUUUGUAUUUUUCUCUUUAACUUGGUUUCUAAAGAAUUCAGCAGUGAGCUUUAUAUACAUCCAAUUAUAUGCAACAUAAUGAAUUUCAUUUUAUAUUUAACAUGAAUUAAAACUGAUGUUAAUGCCCAUUUAACUUCUAUGCUUUCAAGUUCAUUUACACGUGCAAUUCGCUACAUAAAUGUGUACACUGAAAAGUGAUGAAACUUGAAAAGAACGGUUAUAAUGCUAAUCUAAAAUUCAUAAUUAUACCAAACAAUAGAUUGCAUCGAUAAAAUUAGAGUAAGUGAAACGACUAUAUUGAAUAACCUUCAGUACUGUGAACUCAUUUUAAGAUUGCCGGUUCGUAUUAGAGGAUAAACUUCAUUUAUUUAAGCAGUUCGAAAAAGUUUCUGGAGAAAAUGCAAAAAACUGAAUUGAAUGGAACAAAUGAAAUGAUAUUAAGAAUGCCCAUCACAUGAGCCGUAAAGAUUUUCAAGCUAUUAAGUGCUGUUAUUUAAAACUACUAAACAGAAUGAAUCAUAACACAAGUUAACUGCGAAAUUUUGAAAGCUAAUACUUAAAGCUAAUUAGUAAAUUUCCCUGCAAAUUAGUGAUGGAACAUUGUUUUACUAUCUGCCAGGUUGAAUAACUCCUUAAACAUUUGCAUAUUUAGGCCCGAGAGAUGGGCAAGUGCAUUAAGAUCUAAGGCUUAAGACACCAAGGAAAAUUAUAACAAUUUUCGCAGCAGGGAACUCUGCAAUUCGGGUCAUAAUCGAAUAUACUAUUAAACACUUUCUGGUAUGACCUAGCUCUGGGAAAAUGUCUCUUUUAAUUUGUGUUGAGUUUAAAGCAAAUUUCAGUUAUUAAAAAUUUAAUAUCAGCAAGUUUUAGCUUUAUUCAAUAGUCGUUCGAAAGGAAUUCGAUCAUCCGAAAAUUCAGUUAAAAAGCGUAUUAAAAUUUUGGAUCAGUCGUCUUGGCAGGGUUGGUGAACUGCUCCAGUACAACAUGUAUUUAUUUAGAACUAUGUUCUCUUAGUAAUAUAGCUGUUAAAUCAGAGUACUCAAUUUGUGGUUUUAGAUUAUACUUUUCUGCAAAAUGUCGAUAGCUAUGUAAACCUCAAAGAUCCGUAACAUUCUGUGUAAUCUGAACAUUGUUGUAUUCAAUGAAACAUGAAGUAUGAUUUUACUUGGAAACUUUAAAACUUAAGUUUUAUGAAAUCAGCUGCUUAAAGGUAAAACUUGUGUAAUAUGUUCAAAUUGACCAUAGUAAGGCUGGGUGAUUGUAUACCUACAAAAAUGUGUUUUAUCUUAAAAUGAGCAAGAUUCGUACAUUUUCAUGCCUAUUCAUAAAGAACUUUUCUAAAGAUGACUUUAAAUAUUUUCUUAAUAAGCGUUUGGAUAUUAUAAAUGUUUUAAAGUUUCUUCUUCCUAUAAUCUUAAAAAUGUGUGGCUUAUCUGAAAUUCCUUUUGAAUAUUUAGCUGAAAUGUUUCUGUAGUCUUAACUUCUAAAAUUACAAAUCUUUUAUUGACUAUAAAAAUUUUAUUUAGACAAAAAUAAGUGUUUGAAAUGAAUGCUUCCUUCAUUUGUUACUCAUUAUGCAAUGCAUAAUUAUAUUAUACCGAAUUUUGUAUGGUGGAAGCAUUGGCAAUGACGCUGUAACCAAAUAGGUAAUCUGUCAGAUUUAAUAAGCAAAACCUUCUCGAUUGGUCUCUAUAUAAACUCGUAUAAUGU